UACGUAGGGGGCAAGCGUUGUCCGGAUUUAUUGGGCGUAAAGAGCGUGUAGGCGGCCUGGUAGGUCAGCUGUGAAAACUCGAGGCUCAACCUCGAGACGUCGGUUGAAACCACUUGGCUAGAGUCCGGAAGAGGAGAGCGGAAUUCCCGGUGUAGCGGUGAAAUGCGCAGAUAUCGGGAGGAACACCUGUGGCGAAAGCGGCUCACUGGACCACAACUGACGCUGAGGCGCGAAAGCUAGGGGAGCAAACAGG
rnacentral:rRNA from 1 species